UCCAGACACUGCAGCCAGAGAGCUGCUCCCUGAAAUCCCCUUUGCUGAACAGACAGAACUGGGGAACUCAGUAACCCCACCACUUCUGAACUCGUCAGCACAGUUUAUAUAACGAUGAGCCACCAGCUCUUUCGCUUCAAAUACUGCCUCAAUUUACGUGGCAUAGCAGCAAUCUGGCUUUGAUGGAAAAAAAUGUGAAGGAAUGUGUUCCCUGGGGAGUAAUGCAAUACACAGACAAUCUUUUCUUUUUUUUCUCCUGCAUUGAAGAUACUACAGACAUAUGGAAAAGAAUGAAAAAGAAAAACCAUGUGCAAUCAGAGAAACUUCAGACUGAGAUAAAAUUCCUUUCAGCCACAAAGUCAAUACAGGACUGGCUAAUGUUUAAACAUUAAAAGGGAAAUGAAGAUUAUAAUUAAAAAUUA